rnacentral:rRNA from 1 species
GGAAUCUUGCACAAUGGGGGAAACCCUGAUGCAGCGACGCCGCGUGGAGGAUGAAGGGUCUAGGCCUGUAAACUCCUUUUAACGGGAAAGACUUAGGACGGUACCCGUUGAAUAAGGACCGGCUAACUACGUGCCAGCAGCCGCGGUAAGACGUAGGGUCCAAGCGUUGUCCGGAUUUACUGGGCGUAAAGAGCGCGUAGGCGGUCUGUUAAGUGUGAAGUGAAAUCUCCAGGGCUCAACCCGGAAACUGCUUCGCAUACUGGCAGACUUGAGGGAUGCAGAGGUUUGUGGAAUUCCUGGUGUAGCGGUGAAAUGCAUAGAUAUCAGGAGGAACACCCAUGGCGAAGGCAGCAAACUGGGCAUCAUCUGACGCUGAGGCGCGAAAGCGUGGGUAGCAAACA